GAUGAACGCUAGCUACAGGCUUAACACAUGCAAGUCGAGGGGUAACGAGAGGAAAGCUUGCUUUCCUUGUCGACGACCGGCGCACGGGUGAGUAACGCGUAUCCAACCUGCCCCCAACUAAGGAAUAACCUUGCGAAAGUAAGACUAAUACCUUAUAAUUUCCUCAGAUGUCAUCUGACGAGGAAUAAAGAUUUAUCGGUUGUGGAUGGGGAUGCGUCUGAUUAGCUUGUUGGCGGGGUAACGGCCCACCAAGGCAACGAUCAGUAGGGGCUCUGGGGGGAAGGUCCCCCACAUUGGAACGGAGACACAGUCCAAACUCCUACGGGAGGCAGCAGUGAGGAAUAUUGGUCAAUGGGCGGAAGCCUGAACCAGCCAAGUAGCGUGCAGGAUGACGGCCCUAUGGGUUGUAAACUGCUUUUAUACAGGAAUAAAGUUAGCCACGUGUGGUUAUUUGUAGGUACUGUAUGAAUAAGGAUCGGCUAAUUCCGUGCCAGCAGCCGCCGUAA
rnacentral:rRNA from 1 species